AAUAAUAAUGAUGCGGUUUGAAUAGGUAAAUUAGAAAUUUUAAAGUUCUUAGACCACAUUCAUUUUGUGAGCCUCUUGUUUUAAUUGCUUCUGUAAGUAAUAUAUAUUAAUUUGAAAUUUUGACGACAGACACAUACAGAUUAUACUGUUAACAAUAUUUCAGAGUUUAAUGUUGUCAAGCACACAAAUCAUAGAAGAAUAGUUAAUCACGUCAUUGUUGUCCAUUGAAAAAUUAGUAUGAACAUGAUGAAAAAGUACGGGAAUGUUUGUUUGUUAAACUAUUGACCGUGGUUAUGUCUUUGAAACUGUUGACUGGCAAAUAGUCUGUGAAAUGAAAUAGCACAAAUAUUUCAUUCUUUUUUAUAUCAUGGUAUAUAGAAAAACACAUACUGAUGUAUAAUAAUAGUUAUAGUGACUGUCAUUAAAUUAUAGUUUUUACCUUUUUUAAGUUUAGGGCAAGAAAUAUAGAAGAUAAAGAAAAAUAUAAACAAUUACAACUGUACAGUAGAAAUGAUCGGCAAAACAAGAUAAACAGAAGACAACAAGGCCUAAAUGGUGCAGAGACUUCUUGGUUUUCAUGAUCAUCAACAGAUCAAUACAGAAGAGGAAACUUAAGGUUAAUACUUUUCUACAUUGUGUGCUAAUUGGAUUAAUGUGAAAUGAAAUGUGUGCUUACCUGGAAAAAGAAAAUAGGAAAUUUCUACAAAAUGGCUGUAAACAAAAUGGAGUACAAUCAUAGAUGCACAAGAACACAAUUGUGUAAUUGCAACAACCUACACUGAAGGAUUAGGGAGAAAUGUAGAAAAAAUAGUAUUUUUUUGUCGAAAUAAACACCUGCUUUAUCCAUUCAUGUACAUAGCUCUGUCAUAUCAACUAUAUAGAGGAAGAUGUUUGAAGAACAAAUUGCAAAAAUGUAUUCUCUACCAAUUGAAGGAAGAUGUCUGGUGGAUGGAAUUAUUUAUGCACUGAACUGUUUUGUAGGGGAUUGAAUAAUUGUACGCAGCAGAAAAGUUAAAUUAACAUGAAAAGUGGUUAUUUUAUUUAAUCCGCAAAUAUGAGCACAAUAUUAAUAACAUCACAAAUAGUAUGAUAUUCAUAGCGUUUUUCUUAUUAUUGUAUUGUCUCAAACAGCUAGCCUAUUGUUUUUGUAUGUCAUGUUACUCAUCAGUGAACAUUUUAUUAAAGUUUUAAUUAUC